CUAGAAACAGCAACAAAACAGAAAUCCUACCAAUAUAGAUUUUCCACAGGGACUGUCAGAACAACAAAUGAAAUCCCAAAGAGAAUUCAGUUACACAGAAAGUCAGCACUAUCAUUGCACAUCAGAAAUUUCUAAUUGUGCCACCCAGGUUGAACAGGGAAAUUCUCUAAAACCUACACUAGGACCCUUGUUCAAACUCUAAUAAUCCUAGAAUGUUAUACAUGAAACAAGCUACAGUAAUCAAUAUCAUAAAUUAAAUUAAAAACCUUAGCUACAAAAUCAAGAUCAUUCAUUCUAUGGCUAAAAGCCAAGCAUUAUCCAAAAAUGGUAAAAUAAUAAACAUUACAUCUCCUCAUUCAUAUAAAACUUCAAUAAUUCAUAAACUUGCUAAUGCCCUUAAACAGAAACCCAGAUUCUGGAGAAACAUUGGAAAAAAAAAACACAAAUACCAAUUCCUUCAGUCUAUUCAAUCAAGAGGAAUCUCGACCUCACCAUCAGUAAUCUCCUGCUGAAGAUCUUUCGGGUUCUUCCCAUCAACCGUACACCCAACAGAUACACAAGUACCCAAUAUCUCCUUCACGGUACCGCUCAAGUCCUUAGCCAUCGAUCUGGGCCGCAUUACCUUAGCAAUCUCGAUCACAUCAUCCAGCGAGAUAUUCCCACUAUGCUUGAUAUUCUUCGUCUUCUUCCUAUCACGCUCAGGCUCCUUCAAUGCCUUAAUGACUAAAGCAGCGGCGGAAGGAACCACAGUGACCUUGGCCUGACGGUUCUGGACAGUGAGCUUGACGGUGACACGUAAACCCUUCCAGUCCUUAGCUGUUUCCUUGGCAAUAUCUUCACCAAUCUUCUUGGGGGAGAGACCAAGAGGACCAAUUUUUGGAGCAAGAGAUGAAGCUGCUCCGACCUCACCUCCGGUGACCCUGACGAAAACGUCCACCACCUGACUAGGGUCGAACUUAGGCGGCAUGUUUAGUUGUCAGAUUGCGUGUAGAGGUUUUCAAGGGAAGGUCACAGAACAAAUAUAGGUGUAGAAAUUGGAGGUGGGUAAGAUUAAGAAGGAGGCGCGGCGAGGGAAGCAGCAGAGUGAAAGUUUGUUAGCAUAUAAG
rnacentral:misc_RNA from 1 species